CCAUCUUUAACAAAAUAUAUCUCUGUUAGUUUCUCCCUAAAAUUGUACAACCUGUAAAGCAGAAGUACAACCUUCAGCUUUAGUCAUGUUAUAAAGUAGCUAGAGAUGCUUAAACACACAUUUUAAGGGUGGCUUAGUUUUUUUUUUUUUACAUAAAUAUAUAUACCUCUGAGUGGAAAAACAGUUUCAGUCUGAUGUUCUAAUUUAUCUAAAGAAGUAAACCAGCAGCUCUAAAGUGACUGUAGCUGGGAAUGGAUUUGUCUGCAGUGUAUCCUGCCUCUUGCUCAAUAUACGCUGGGACCAGUUUAAUUUGGAGAACAGCCAUGGUCACCAGCUCCCUUCCUUUAAAAAGAACUAAACCAGUGUAGUUUCUUUAACACUUAAUUUUAUUAAAGGCAAAAUGACAUUCGCACAGGAGAAAUUGGUGCCACAGACAAAAACACAUCUGGCUUUUUCAAAAACUGUGAAAAGACUUAUUACAUCAAAUAUGCACUGGAGCUGAGUUCAGAGCACUUUAC